rfam:Perkinsus marinus ATCC 50983 gcontig_1104296683422, whole genome shotgun sequence.
GACAGUUUGGCCGAGUGGUCUAAGGCGCUGGCUUAAGGCGCCAGUGCGAGAGGGCGUGGGUUCGAAUCCCAUAGCUGUUA